GUAAAUAUUUUAUUACAUUUUCAAUUUCACUCAUUGUAAUUGGGGUGUUUAGAAUUUCUAUAUCUUCUUCAUUUAACUUUGGCAAUUUGUAUGUAUCUAGGAAUCUGCCCAUUUAUUUUGUGAUUUCCAUUUUAUUGGAGUAGAGGUUCUUAAAGUAUGUAUUGAUGAUCCUCUGGAUUUCUGUUGGAUCUGUUGUGACUUCACCUUUUUCAUUCUUUUUUUUUUUUUCCAGGGCAGAGGCAUUUAUUGCUAAGGUAUCUGGAAAGUUGGAGUUCUGUGUAAAACCUUUUGAUUGUCAAAUGUUGGCAAACUACCGUCACGUUAAAUAUAUUGGCCUGCGAGAUCGGGGCUGUGGGCCACCAGUGUGCACUCUAUUCCAAAAGCUCUUUCAGGAAUGACGUAGGAGAUGGGACUCAGUAAGCUGAUGUCCCCUGGCUUCAGGGGUCCUGAAGAAAUGGAAUGAGUGGGGAGGUCCAGGCCUAGAUCCCUCCAGAGCACUGUAAUGGUAUAGGACAGCCUGGCUCCUGAAUGCCUUUUCAUGCCCACUGUGCCCUCCUAGUGUACGCUGCUGGCAAAGCAGCCACCUCAGGUGUGCCAAGCAUCUACGCCCCCAGCACCUAAGCCUACCUCUCCCCUGCCAAGACCCCACCCCCACUGCCAAUCAUGAUUCCCAUGGGCCCCAUCUACAAUGGCUACCCUGGAGGGUACCCUGGAGACUUCGAUAGGAACAGCUCAGUGGGCGGCCACAGCUCUCAGGUACCCCUGCUUUGAGACACGGACAGCAAUUCAACCUCUGAAGUCCGUAGUGGCUACGGAUCCAGGCCAAUCAGCAGGAUGAUUCCAUGAGAGUCCCAGCCAGGUUCCGCAGAAUCUGCAAGGUCUCCUGCAAGUAGCGGGAGGAGAGGAAGGGCCUAUGCACCCCCUCGAAGCCGCAGCCGUGAUGACCUCUUCAACCCAGACGUCUCGAGGGACUUCCCACACUCUGGAGAUCCCCAUUGUGAUGACUUCAAAUCUAAACUUGGCCCUCAGUCGGGAAAGUUUAGUCGUCUGAUCUCACAUUUUGUAUGUAGCUUUUGUACUUUUUAUUUUUUGGUACUGGGGACUAAACCCACAGGUUUCGCACUGAGCUACGUCUCCGGCCCUUUUUCACUUUUUAAAAUUUUGAGACAGGGUCUCGCAGAGUUGCUGAAGCUGAGCUCGAAUUUACAGUCCUGCCUCGGCCUCCCUGUGUUGG
rnacentral:lncRNA from 1 species